GGCGGGUCUCCCCGCAUUGUGGAAUGGUGAAUCGGGUCAGGUCCGGAAGGAAGCAGCCACAGCCAACAUCCGCAAGUGCCGGGGGUCAGGCUCGCCACC
rnacentral:SRP_RNA from 1 species